UGGGAACUACAGCAAAUGGGACACAGUAC
rnacentral:piRNA from 1 species